GGAGCACCACCCUCUGAGGGACAAGGAAAUCCCUGAGCUGUUUCCAGUUGCUCUCCAUGCAGCUCACAUUGUUCUCCUGUCAGUAGUAGAGAAGGCUGUAGCUGACAGAAAAUACCAGAGGCGAGGACUGGAGAAACAGGACUGAAAAGAAAAGGAAAUGAGAAUGUCUCGAUCAUGUUUUUCACUUACAGUGAUGCCUGUGAUUUGCUGAAGAUAAAAAGUCAUAAAGGCUCAAAUGGAGAAGAAACAUGGGCCUCAUCUAAUAGAGGGAAGAUAUUGCUUAGCUGCAAACAGUACUGCAUUGUGCAGCACCUUUGGCUGGCAAGAGAACAGCGAAUCCCAUUAAGGGAAGAUGAGGGUCAGGGAGAAAAGGGAAGAAUGGUCGUAUGAGCUUUCCAGAGCCAAAGCAGAGAUGAACAGUUUACCAACUCAUGCCUGCGGGGUGAUGAUAUGCUGAGUCACUGUUUCAAAGCGAACUCUAAAAUAAAAUACAGAUUAAAAAAAGUCUGUGCCUCUUCUUCAGCAAAAAUCUCACAAAUUAAACCCUGCAGGAACAAAGGUGAUUCUGAUACGAUCCUGCCCAUGCCCCGGGGGGACAUUAACCGACCAGGCUUGGAUGUACUGCAGCAGGAUGCAAAAGACUGCAUUUGUGUUAGGAAUCACAAUCAGUUCUCAAGAGCCAUACAAGACUUGACUUAUAUGUGAAGAAUGUCAUGAUUACAUCUUUCUGAGACUCACAGAAACUGAACAAUGUAGAUGUUAAGAAAAAUUUCAUUACUUUUAAUAAUGUUUCAUAUCCUAAAGCCGCUACCUGACAGGUCACUUCAUCCGUCUCAGUGUACUCAUGGCUGCACUCUGGCAUACAAUAACUUGGGCUGACAGUUGAGAAAUUCUGCAUGUCCUCAAAAAAAGGAGUGGGGCCUGCUGGCCCAGCUGGGUUGGAAGCUACUGGAGAUAGCAGAACUGGCUACAAAACGCACUCUGGGAUGUAAACUGAACACUGAAAACAUGGCAGCAUCAUAACUUUGCAAAGCCAGGACUCAUUAAAAGAACAAUUUUAUUUCCUGAAUGCCAACAUGGAAGCAACUGUUCAGCACAGCCUGAAAAAGUGGAGCGCCUAUACAAUGAGCCAGAGCAAACAAUUGUUGAGCUGUAUCUUUUCUGCCUUACUGCACAAAAACUGCACAGAAAAUGUUGUUCUCUUCAGCUCUGCUUAAAUCAAGGAGUUCCAAGCAUUCCUUCUGGGGAGCUAUAUCUAAACAGACAAGUUGCUUGGGAAUCAUCAGAGACUCACUAGUCCUAUUGCCUCAGUCUUGUAGUGAUGACAGCAAUUGUUGUCAAGAGGGAAAGGAGGAUACCGUUUCUGAACACAUUUUGUGAAAGCCUGCAUGGGAUCAUAUGCUGUUGUUUUUAGAGAAUGCAUGCACAUCCCUUUUGGUCCCUGUUUCAUUCGCUGUGGUCUGUUCUUUUAUUUUUCCAAUGGUACUCCCUUGAGGGAGUGAGUUAGCUUGUAAUAUCAUGGCUUUUGCCCUGGGAGGAAUUCUAAGUCUUUGAGUGUGUUUGUUGCUCCAAAAUCUGAAUAUGCUACAUAACACCCACGUUUCCAGAGCCCUACACUGAAUAAGGCUUUUGACGGUUUUUAUGGUUAAGCAUUCUCCUCUACAUGUGUCCAAGACUAUGAAGCUCUGAAAAUGGAUGUGGAUGGCCUUACUACACAGCUGGCUGCACUGGAAACAGCCAUCAAUCUAAAAUGCAUAAGAAACCUCAAAGAAUAUGGAACGACCUGUGUGGUGAUGGGGAUUACCCAGCUCUUUCCUUAGAAAUUUAGAACUUCAGAAAGUAGCAUGUAUUACUAGCAAAAAUUUCCACUGAAGUACUGAUGAAAAGUUGAACACUAACUUAACUGGGAGCAGGAUGUGGCCUGCUUUUGGCUGAGGAUGUUUAAGAUGGUAUUUUUACAAAGAUAAACUGUCAUGAGUAGACUUUAAAUACUUUGUAUGCUCUGAUGUUUUCAGAUGAAAACAGCAACUUCAGUUUUUUCAGGCUUCUGUGUGCAGGGGGCAGACCUUGUGUUCUCACCUUGCAAAUAGCAGGAUUGUAAUUUGAACAUUGCUUCUGUGUUCAAAGGAUGGAAAGCUGAGGAUAAAGUGU